AGUCGAACGGCAGCACAGCAGAGCUUGCUCUGUGGGUGGCGAGUGGCGGACGGGUGAGGAAUACAUGGGAAUCUGCCCAGUCGUGGGGGAUAACGUAUGGAAACGUACGCUAAUACCGCAUGCGCCCUUCGGGGGAAAGCCGGGGACCUUCGGGCCUGGCGCGAUUGGAUGAGCCCAUGUCGGAUUAGCUAGUUGGCGGGGUAAAGGCCCACCAAGGCGACGAUCCGUAGCUGGUCUGAGAGGAUGAUCAGCCACACUGGGACUGAGACACGGCCCAGACUCCUACGGGAGGCAGCAGUAGGGAAUAUUGGACAAUGGGCGCAAGCCUGAUCCAGCCAUGCCGCGUGAGUGAAGAAGGCCCUCGGGUUGUAAAGCUCUUUUGUCCGGAAAGAAAAGCAUUCGGUUAAUACCCGAGUGUUCUGACGGUACCGGAAGAAUAAGCACCGGCUAACUUCGUGCCAGCAGCCGCGGUAAUACGAAGGGUGCAAGCGUUACUCGGAAUUACUGGGCGUAAAGCGUGCGUAGGUGGUUUGUUAAGUCUGAUGUGAAAGCCCUGGGCUCAACCUGGGAAUGGCA
rnacentral:rRNA from 1 species